rnacentral:rRNA from 1 species
UGGGGAAUUUUGGACAAUGGGCGAAAGCCUGAUCCAGCCAUGCCGCGUGAGUGAAGAAGGCCUUCGGGUUGUAAAGCUCUUUUAGUCGGAAAGAAAGAGUCGCGAUGAAUAAUUGUGAUUUAUGACGGUACCGACAGAAAAAGCACCGGCUAACUACGUGCCAGCAGCCGCGGUAAUACGUAGGGUGCGAGCGUUAAUCGGAAUUACUGGGCGUAAAGGGUGCGCAGGCGGUUUUGCAAGUCAGAUGUGAAAGCCCCGGGCUUAACCUGGGAAUUGCGUUUGAAACUACAAGGCUAGAGUGCAGCAGAGGGGAGUGGAAUUCCAUGUGUAGCAGUGAAAUGCGUAGAGAUGUGGAAGAACACCGAUGGCGAAGGCAGCUCCCUGGGUUGACACUGACGCUCAUGCACGAAAGCGUGGGGAGCAAACA